UACGUAGGGGGCAAGCGUUGUCCGGAUUUAUUGGGCGUAAAGAGCGUGUAGGCGGUUUGGUAGGUCCGCUGUGAAAACUCGAGCUCAACUUCGAGACAGCCGGUGGAAACCAUCAGACUAGAGUCCGGAAGAGGAGAGUGGAAUUCCUGGUGUAGCGGUGAAAUGCGCAGAUAUCAGGAAGAACACCCGUGGCUAAGGCGGCUCUCUAGUACGGUACUGACGCUGAGACGCGAAAGCGUGGGGAGCGAACAGG
rnacentral:rRNA from 1 species